rnacentral:rRNA from 1 species
AUUGAACGCUGGCGGCAGGCCUAACACAUGCAAGUCGAGCGGAUGAAGGGAGCUUGCUCCUGGAUUCAGCGGCGGACGGGUGAGUAAUGCCUAGGAAUCUGCCUGGUAGUGGGGGAUAACGUCCGGAAACGGGCGCUAAUACCGCAUACGUCCUGAGGGAGGAAGUGGGGGAUCUUCGGACCUCACGCUAUCAGAUGAGCCUAGGUCGGAUUAGCUAGUUGGUGGGGUAAAGGCCUACCAAGGCGACGAUCCGUAACUGGUCUGAGAGGAUGAUCAGUCACACUGGAACUGAGACACGGUCCAGACUCCUACGGGAGGCAGCAGUGGGGAAUAUUGGACAAUGGGCGAAAGCCUGAUCCAGCCAUGCCGCGUGUGUGAAGAAGGUCUUCGGAUUGUAAAGCACUUUAAGUUGGGAGGAAGGGCAGUAAGUUAAUACCUUGCUGUUUUGACGUUACCAACAGAAUAAGCACCGGCUAACUUCGCG